UCCCGCGUGGAUGCCGGUGGUGACGGCGGUUCCUGGCGACAGCCGGGGGCUUGCGGAGCGUGAAGCCGAGCGGCGCUAGGACCGCGGCAGAGGCGGCGCGGCAGCAGCGCCGCCAGAUCCAGUUCCAGGUGCCGAACCGAACGCGGAGCCAGGAGCCCCGCCCCCACAUGUACAUGGACAGCUCUGAUUGGUCGGUGCGGAACUCUGACGCGACUUCUGAGUCCAAGGAUGUGGCCUAACCAGGCGCCGCGGAGGAGAGCGCGCUCCUGCGAACUAAGCUGGCUGGGGACCGAGGGCGCCCCCUAGUCGUGUGGAGAACGAGGAGCGGACGCCACUAUCCCUUGCCCGCAGGACGCCACAGAAAGGCGCUUGUCUUCAAGCAAGCGAUCGCCGACUACCAGCAUGACAGACCUGAGUAACCAACGCUCUUUGGUGGACCUUGCCAAUGCAGCGACAUCAUCCCCUACACACGGCGUACUGUUCCAGCCCAUCUGGACCACAAAGUAUUCCCCCAGGCCAAUUCUAUACUUCCCUGAAGCGGUUCUGUGCCAUUUUGUCCCCUUUUAUUCUCUUCCCUUCUCCUCAAUCCCUGUUUCCCAAGUAGGUCUUGCCCAAGCCCCAACCCAUUUCUCAAGUGUCAUCUUACAUGAGCAAGUCCUCUAGUAAAAAUUCGCUCUAUCCCCUA